rnacentral:rRNA from 1 species
GACGUAGGGUGCGAGCGUUGUCCGGAUUUAUUGGGCGUAAAGAGCUCGUAGGCGGCUUGUUGCGUCGGCUGUGAAAUCCCAUGGCUCAACUGUGGGCUUGCAGCCGAUACGGGGCGGGCUAGAGUUCGGUAGGGGGAGACUGGAAUUCCUGGUGUAGCGGUGAAAUGCGCAGAUAUCGGGAAGAACACCCCGUGGCGAAGGCGGCUCUCUGGGACGGUACUGACGCUGAGACGCGAAAAGCGUGGGGGAGCGAACAGG